GAUCACAACCUGAGCCAAAGGCAGAUGUUCGACCACUGAGCCACCCAGGUGCCCCAAAAAGGUUAAGUACCUACCGCUGCACCUGGCACAGGGUGACUAUUGCAGGAAGACAUUCUAUUGUUCUUGAUUAUUUAGCAGCACUUCCUCAACUCAUCCUGGUAACACAAUCCAUCUUUUCCUUGAGGGACUCUUUCUAUGAUUCUAAAGCUGUCCCCUGCCCUCCAUACAAGAGCCACAAGAGUAAGCAUGUUACCCCAAGCCAGGACAAUCAGAGACUUGCCCCUUCCCCCCAAACAGGGACUGAUUCAAGAGUGGUCUCCUGGAUGCAGUCAGAGUCCUUUCUGGUGCUAUGAGGAGGUCAUGACCCAGGAGUGAUAAUUGCCCAUUUUAAGCUAAGCAGGACGAGACAGGUGGAGUUCUGAGCAAUCAUCUGACCCCGAGAUUUAGACACAUUUAAAGCCAAUUGCCCUCAUCCACUUCCCAGAUACAGGACGCAAUACAUUCCUGGUUUUAAGCUAAUUGGAGUUGAAUUUCUAGAAUUUGCAAGAGAACGAACCCUGACUAGUACACUGGAUCAAGUGGCCCUCGGUAGAAUGGGAAGGAUGAAACUAAUCAGAAGUGUUAUGAAGCUGCGUGGUAUGAGGAAGAGGGAGAAGUCAAGAGUCCUUCUGCGGUUUGGAUACCUGGUGACCAAAAACCCCCUCCAUUAUUGAAAAGGUAGUAGUUGCUAUGUUGGGUAGAAGAGAGGAAAUUACCGGUACUCCCAGGAACCCCGAGUGCUAGCCAGCUUCCAAAGAGAUUUAAAUCCAGUCCUUCCAGCAGAAGCAAAGCUUUACCCACAUGAAGCUCAGAGACAGAUCACAUGGGGCCAACAUGGCAGACUGACACCGAACCCAGCAUAGCUGCCCAGUCCCGCCAGAUAAACAUAAGGAAAGGUCAUCCAAACACAGGAAGACGGCCGUCCCCUUGCCUUUUCCUUUACCCCCUCCCCUUCCUCCCUCUGGCUCCCUCAUCCCCAGAGGGUGGACCCAGCCUUUCCCAAAGUUUAUUCUGAGAGCUCCAGGCUCCCACAGUGGAACGUGCUGCGGACAUGGGAAUACAAGAGCCUGGCCAACAGGGAAAACCAAAAAUAUAAACGGAGAGAUUUAAAAGAUUCCUCCCCUCCUCCCAAAGUUGUACCCGAAAUAUCUGCUUUUACUGUUAUUACUAAUAUUACUGCCUUUACCAUCCUUGACUUAAAUCGGCCCAUCCUGGAAGGAGACCUUCUGAAGUUUAUUGCAUUUGACAGUAAACAUUUAGCACAGAAAAAAGUUAAGCUCUUUCUUAGGACCUCAGUGCCACUGACUUGACCCACUAAACAUGCAAUAAAAUGUUGGGAAACAAAGUCCAGAAAGUCUUACGUCUCAGACACUGGCAAUGAGUUUAACAAGAAUACAAGUAAUGCUGACACUUCAGGGGAAAAAAAGGUUUCAUUUUCUUUAAAUCCACUAUUGGAAUUUUGUAAAGAGCCAAGAACCCCGAGCCAGUAAAUAGGAAGUCAUUUUAUCUUUUACUGACAUAUUCUGAUCAAAACAGUGACGAGAGCAUAGGCUUUCAUUUUUAUCCUCCACUUAGAAGAAAAAAAGUGAAUAUUACAGGAUUGUGUACUUCAAUGAUUAUAAAUCAGCAUUUGUGAUGAAAUGUUCAGUACUCAUUUCAAAACAGACACAGUGUUUAAAAGCAAAGCAUAAUGGUGACCUUUCUCAUUAGCUGUUGCUCAAACAAAGAUAUGUUCCAGCAAUAUCCGAUGCUUCCUUCCUGCCAGGGCCUCCACCCAGUGCAAUUUAAAACACUUGUGUUACAUCCAAACCAGAACUGAGGUUGUGGUGGAGUGGAGUUUCAGCAGCGUAGUGUUUAUUAUUACUUUCUAAGUUUUUUAAUGUUUUCUUUUCAUAAAUGUAUUGUCAUGAGUUGGGUUUGCAAGAUUAAAUAUGUGAGACCGUACAAAUGAAUUCAUUAUAACUUAUUUACUCUUCUAUGUCUCCAUCUAUUUUUGUGGCAAAUAGCGUCAUAGGUUCUUGACCCUGAGGACACUUAUUUCGCUGCCCUUUAGUAAAUGUUUUUAUUAAUACAUUGUAAGCCAAAAAACAAAAACAAUCAUUAAGAACUAUGCCAAAUUUAUUUUAUGUAAAAUCCAAUGAACACAAACACAAAUCUAAGGAGAGAAUGUGAGAAACAGAAAGAGAGAGAAUUAGAGACAGCUUUAGUACACAUCCUCACUUUCCUCAUGCCUGGUAUUCCUAAGUCUGGUAAUAUAUGUAGAAAAUGAUCAAAGUCAAGGUGAUUUUUCUAUGGAACAACAAAUAAGAAAGUCUUUUUUUUUUUCUGGUC